rnacentral:rRNA from 1 species
GGGUUGUGAGGUUAAGCGACUAAGCGUACACGGUGGAUGCCCUGGCAGUCAGAGGCGAUGAAGGACGUGCUAAUCUGCGAUAAGCGUCGGUAAGGUGAUAUGAACCGUUAUAACCGGCGAUUUCCGAAUGGGGAAACCCAGUGUGAUUCGUCACACUAUCAUUAACUGAAUCCAUAGGUUAAUGAGGCGAACCGGGGGAACUGAAACAUCUAAGUACCCCGAGGAAAAGAAAUCAACCGAGAUUCCCCCAGUAGCGGCGAGCGAACGGGGAGCAGCCCAGAGCCUGAAUCAGUGUGUGUGUUAGUGGAAGCGUCUGGAAAGGCGCGCGAUACAGGGUGACAGCCCCGUACACAAAAAUGCACAUGCUGUGAGCUCGAUGAGUAGGGCGGGACACGUGGUAUCCUGUCUGAAUAUGGGGGGACCAUCCUCCAAGGCUAAAUACUCCUGACUGACCGAUAGUGAACCAGUACCGUGAGGGAAAGGCGAAAAGAACCCCGGCGAGGGGAGUGAAAAAGAACCUGAAACCGUGUACGUACAAGCAGUGGGAGCACGCUUAGGCGUGUGACUGCGUACCUUUUGUAUAAUGGGUCAGCGACUUAUAUUCUGUAGCAAGGUUAACCGAAUAGGGGAGCCGAAGGGAAACCGAGUCUUAACUGGGCGUUAAGUUGCAGGGUAUAGACCCGAAACCCGGUGAUCUAGCCAUGGGCAGGUUGAAGGUUGGGUAACACUAACUGGAGGACCGAACCGACUAAUGUUGAAAAAUUAGCGGAUGACUUGUGGCUGGGGGUGAAAGGCCAAUCAAACCGGGAGAUAGCUGGUUCUCCCCGAAAGCUAUUUAGGUAGCGCCUCGUGAAUUCAUCUCCGGGGGUAGAGCACUGUUUCGGCAAGGGGGUCAUCCCGACUUACCAACCCGAUGCAAACUGCGAAUACCGGAGAAUGUUAUCACGGGAGACACACGGCGGGUGCUAACGUCCGUCGUGAAGAGGGAAACAACCCAGACCGCCAGCUAAGGUCCCAAAGUCAUGGUUAAGUGGGAAACGAUGUGGGAAGGCCCAGACAGCCAGGAUGUUGGCUUAGAAGCAGCCAUCAUUUAAAGAAAGCGUAAUAGCUCACUGGUCGAGUCGGCCUGCGCGGAAGAUGUAACGGGGCUAAACCAUGCACCGAAGCUGCGGCAGCGACGCUUAUGCGUUGUUGGGUAGGGGAGCGUUCUGUAAGCCUGUGAAGGUGUGCUGUGAGGCAUGCUGGAGGUAUCAGAAGUGCGAAUGCUGACAUAAGUAACGAUAAAGCGGGUGAAAAGCCCGCUCGCCGGAAGACCAAGGGUUCCUGUCCAACGUUAAUCGGGGCAGGGUGAGUCGACCCCUAAGGCGAGGCCGAAAGGCGUAGUCGAUGGGAAACAGGUUAAUAUUCCUGUACUUGGUGUUACUGCGAAGGGGGGACGGAGAAGGCUAUGUUGGCCGGGCGACGGUUGUCCCGGUUUAAGCGUGUAGGCUGGUUUUCCAGGCAAAUCCGGAAAAUCAAGGCUGAGGCGUGAUGACGAGGCACUACGGUGCUGAAGCAACAAAUGCCCUGCUUCCAGGAAAAGCCUCUAAGCAUCAGGUAACAUCAAAUCGUACCCCAAACCGACACAGGUGGUCAGGUAGAGAAUACCAAGGCGCUUGAGAGAACUCGGGUGAAGGAACUAGGCAAAAUGGUGCCGUAACUUCGGGAGAAGGCACGCUGAUAUGUAGGUGAAGUCCCUCGCGGAUGGAGCUGAAAUCAGUCGAAGAUACCAGCUGGCUGCAACUGUUUAUUAAAAACACAGCACUGUGCAAACACGAAAGUGGACGUAUACGGUGUGACGCCUGCCCGGUGC